CAAACUCAGAUUUGCCUCAUCC
rnacentral:siRNA from 1 species